GAUGAAGAACGUAGCGAAAUGCGAUAAGUAAUGUGAAUUGCAGAAUUCAGUGAAUCAUCGAAUCUUUGAACGCACAUUGCGCCCGCCAGUAUUCUGGCGGGCAUGCCUGUCCGAGCGUCAUUUCAACCCUCGAACCCCUCCGGGGGUCCGGCGUUGGGGAUCGGGAACCCCUAAGACGGGAUCCCGGCCCCGAAAUACAGUGGCGGUCUCGCCGCAGCCUCUCAUGCGCAGUAGUUUGCACAACUCGCACCGGGAGCGCGGCUCGUCCACGUCCGUAAAACACCCAACUUCUGAAAUGUUGACCUCGGAUCAGGUAGGAAUACCCGCUGAACUUAAGCAUAUCAAUAAGCGGAGGA
rnacentral:misc_RNA from 1 species